rnacentral:rRNA from 1 species
AUUGAACGCUGGCGGCAUGCCUUACACAUGCAAGUCGAGCGGCAGCGGGAAAGUAGCUUGCUACUUUUGCCGGCGAGCGGCGGACGGGUGAGUAAUGCCUGGGAAAUUGCCCAGUCGAGGGGGAUAACAGUUGGAAACGACUGCUAAUACCGCAUACGCCCUACGGGGGAAAGCAGGGGACCUUCGGGCCUUGCGCGAUUGGAUAUGCCCAGGUGGGAUUAGCUAGUUGGUGAGGUAAUGGCUCACCAAGGCGACGAUCCCUAGCUGGUCUGGGAGGAUGAUCAGCCACACUGGAACUGAGACACGGUCCAGACUCCUACGGGAGGCAGCAGUGGGGAAUAUUGCACAAUGGGGGAAACCCUGAUGCAGCCAUGCCGCGUGUGUGAAGAAGGCCUUCGGGUUGUAAAGCUCUUUCAGCGAGGAGGAAAGGUCAGUAGCUAAUAUCUGCUGACUGUGACGUUACUCGCAGAAGAAGCACCGGCUAACUCCGUGCCAGCCGCCGCGGUAAUAC